AAAGUCCCCUUCGGGGGGCGAGUAGAGUGGCGCACGGGUGAGUAACACGUAGGUAAUCUACCUUUGGAUUGGGAAUAACAACCGGAAACGGUUGCUAAUACCGAAUAAUGCAGCGGCACCUAAUGGUGACAGUUGUUAAAGCGGGGGAUCGCAAGACCUCGCGUCUGAAGAGGAGCCUGCGGCAGAUUAGCUAGUUGGUAAGGUAACGGCUUACCAAGGCGAUGAUCUGUAGCCGGCCUGAGAGGGCGGUCGGCCACACUGACACUGACAUACGGGUCAGACUCCUACGGGAGGCAGCAGUCGGGAAUUUUGGGCAAUGGGCGAAAGCCUGACCCAGCAACGCCGCGUGAAGGAUGAAAUCCUUCGGGAUGUAAACUUCGCAAGAACGGGAAGAAUAAGUAAGGGUUAAUAUCUCUUACGAUGACGGUACUGUUUGUAAGCUCCGGCUAACUCCGUGCCAGCAGCCGCGGUAAUACGGGGGGAGCAAGCGUUGUUCGGAUUUACUGGGCGUAAAGGGCGCGUAGGCGGCCACCGCAAGUCGACUGUGAAAUCUCCGGGCUUAACCCGGAAAGGUCAGCCGAUACUGCGGGGCUAGAGUGCAGAAGGGGCAACUGGAAUUCUCGGUGUAGCGGUGAAAUGCGUAGAUAUCGAGAGGAACACCUGCGGCGAAGGCGGGUUGCUGGGCUGACACUGACGCUGAGGCGCGAAAGCUAGGGGAGCGAACGGGAUUAGAUACCCCGGUAGUCCUAGCCUUAAACGAUGAAUGCUUGGUGUCUGGGGUUUUAUAGUCCCCGGGUGCCGUCGCUAACGCUUUAAGCAUUCCGCCUGGGGAGUACGGUCGCAAGACUG
rnacentral:rRNA from 1 species